UAUACACCAGAGUGAACAUUA
rnacentral:piRNA from 1 species